UCACUCUGUAGACCAGACUGGCCUGA
rnacentral:piRNA from 1 species